UACGUAGGGGGCGAGCGUUAUCCGGAAUUACUGGGCGUAAAGCGCACGCAGGCGGUUCGCCAAGUUUGGAGUGACAGUUGUCGGCUCAACCGACAAAGGACUUCAAAAACUGGUGAACUUGAGGACGAGAGAGGAACAUGGAACUCCAGGUGUAAUAGUGAAAUGCGUAGAUAUCUGGAAGAACACCAAUGGCGAAGGCAAUGUUCUGGCUCGUUUCUGACGCUCAGGUGCGAAAGCCAGGGGAGCGAACGGG
rnacentral:rRNA from 1 species